rnacentral:rRNA from 1 species
UACGGGGGGAGCAAGCGUUGUUCGGAUUUACUGGGCGUAAAGGGCGCGUAGGCGGUCAGCACAAGUCAGUUGUGAAAUCUCCGGGCUUAACUCGGAAAGGUCAACUGAUACUGUGCGACUAGAGUGCGGAAGGGGCAACUGGAAUUCUCGGUGUAGCGGUGAAAUGCGUAGAUAUCGAGAGGAACACCGGUGGCGAAGGCGGCCAACUGGACGAAGACUGACGCUGAGACACGAAAGCGUGGGGAGCAAACAGG